GCCGGGCGCGGUGCCUGUAGUCCCAGCUACUCGCGAGGCUGAGGUGGGAAGAUCGCUUGAGCCCAGGAGUUCUGGGCUGUAGUGCGCUAUGCCAAUCGGGUGUCCGCACUAAGGUCGGCAUCAAUAUGGUGACCUCCCGGGAGCGGAGCAGGGAACCACCAGGUUGCCUAAGGAGGGGUGAAACGGCCCAGGUCGGAAACAGAGCAGGUCCAAACUCCUGUGCUGAUGAGUAGUGGGAUUGCGGCUGUGAAUAGUCACUGCACUCCCGCCUGGGCAACAUAGCGAGACCCGGUGUCC
rnacentral:SRP_RNA from 1 species